CGGAACACGAGAAAUUCCGUCGGAAUCCGCGGGGACCAUCCCGCAAGGCUAAAUACUCCCUAGUGACCGAUAGUGAACCAGUACCGUGAGGGAAAGGUGAAAAGCACCCCGGAAGGGGAGUGAAACAGUUCCUGAAACCGUGUGCCUACAAGUAGUUAGAGCCCGUUAAUGGGUGAUAGCGUGCCUUUUGUAGAAUGAACCGGCGAGUUACGAUUUGUUGCAAGGUUAAGCGGAAAAAGCGGAGCCGUAGCGAAAGCGAGUCUGAAUAGGGCGCAUAAGUAACAGGUCGUAGACCCGAAACCAGGUGAUCUACCCAUGUCCAGGAUGAAGGUAAGGUAAUACUUACUGGAGGUCCGAACCCACGCACGUUGAAAAGUGCGGGGAUGAGGUGUGGGUAGCGGAGAAAUUCCAAUCGAACUUGGAGAUAGCUGGUUCUCUCCGAAAUAGCUUUAGGGCUAGCCUCGAGGUAAAGAGUCAUGGAGGUAGAGCACUGUUUGGACUAGGGGCCCUUCUCGGGUUACCGAAUUCAGAUAAACUCCGAAUGCCAUGUACUUAUACUCGGGAGUCAGACUGCGAGUGAUAAGAUCCGUAG
rnacentral:rRNA from 1 species